rnacentral:rRNA from 1 species
GCAGUCGAACGAGUUCUGAUUAUUGAAAGGUGCUUGCAUCUUGAUUUAAUUUUGAACGAGUGGCGGACGGGUGAGUAACACGUGGGUAACCUGCCCUUAAGUGGGGGAUAACAUUUGGAAACAGAUGCUAAUACCGCAUAAAUCCAAGAACCGCAUGGUUCUUGGCUGAAAGAUGGCGUAAGCUAUCGCUUUUGGAUGGACCCGCGGCGUAUUAGCUAGUUGGUGAGGUAACGGCUCACCAAGGCAAUGAUACGUAGCCGAACUGAGAGGUUGAUCGGCCACAUUGGGACUGAGACACGGCCCAAACUCCUACGGGAGGCAGCAGUAGGGAAUCUUCCACAAUGGACGCAAGUCUGAUGGAGCAACGCCGCGUGAGUGAAGAAGGCUUUCGGGUCGUAAAACUCUGUUGUUGGAGAAGAAUGGUCGGCAGAGUAACUGUUGUCGGCGUGACGGUAUCCAACCAGAAAGCCACGGCUAACUACGUGCCAGCAGCCGCGGUAAUACGUAGGUGGCAAGCGUUAUCCGGAUUUAUUGGGCGUAAAGCGAGCGCAGGCGGUUUUUUAAGUCUGAUGUGAAAGCCCUCGGCUUAACCGAGGAAGUGCAUCGGAAACUGGGAAACUUGAGUGCAGAAGAGGACAGUGGAACUCCAUGUGUAGCGGUGAAAUGCGUAGAUAUAUGGAAGAACACCAGUGGCGAAGGCGGCUGUCUGGUCUGUAACUGACGCUGAGGCUCGAAAGCAUGGGUAGCGAACAGGAUUAGAUACCCUGGUAGUCCAUGCCGUAAACGAUGAAUGCUAGGUGUUGGAGGGUUUCCGCCCUUCAGUGCCGCAGCUAACGCAUUAAGCAUUCCGCCUGGGGAGUACGACCGCAAGGUUGAAACUCAAAGGAAUUGACGGGGGCCCGCACAAGCGGUGGAGCAUGUGGUUUAAUUCGAAGCAACGCGAAGAACCUUACCAGGUCUUGACAUCUUUUGAUCACCUGAGAGAUCAGGUUUCCCCUUCGGGGGCAAAAUGACAGGUGGUGCAUGGUUGUCGUCAGCUCGUGUCGUGAGAUGUUGGGUUAAGUCCCGCAACGAGCGCAACCCUUAUGACUAGUUGCCAGCAUUUAGUUGGGCACUCUAGUAAGACUGCCGGUGACAAACCGGAGGAAGGUGGGGAUGACGUCAAAUCAUCAUGCCCCUUAUGACCUGGGCUACACACGUGCUACAAUGGAUGGUACAACGAGUUGCGAGACCGCGAGGUCAAGCUAAUCUCUUAAAGCCAUUCUCAGUUCGGACUGUAGGCUGCAACUCGCCUACACGAAGUCGGAAUCGCUAGUAAUCGCGGAUCAGCACGCCGCGGUGAAUACGUUCCCGGGCCUUGUACACACCGCCCGUCACACCAUGAGAGUUUGUAACACCCGAAGCCGGUGGCGUAACCCUUUUAGGGAGCGAGCCGUCUAA